GAUUUCUGGCUCUGUUGGGCUGGUCCGGGCCUUCUGGGUUCCGUGUAUCAGUUUCGACGUGCCAUCUUUUCCGGAAACGGCGUGCAGGGGCAACUCUGUGCGAGAAUACGCUCCGGAUCUUUUACUUUGAAAAAAUUAGAGUGUUUAAAGCAGGCUUACGCUGUGAAUAUAUUAGCAUGGAAUAACGAUUUAGGACUUUCGUCCUUUUGUUGGUUUUCUAGGAUGGAAGUAAUGAUUGAUAGGGAUAGUUGGGGGUGCUAGUAUUUCGUCAACAGAGGUGAAAUUCUUGGACCGACGAAAGACUAACUUAUGCGAAAGCAUU
rnacentral:rRNA from 1 species